rnacentral:rRNA from 1 species
GUGGGGAAUAUUGGACAAUGGGCGAAAGCCUGAUCCAGCAAUGCCGCGUGAGUGAUGAAGGCCCUAGGGUUGUAAAGCUCUUUUACCCGGGAUGAUAAUGACAGUACCGGGAGAAUAAGCUCCGGCUAACUUCGUGCCAGCAGCCGCGGUAAUACGAGGGGAGCUAGCGUUGUUCGGAAUUACUGGGCGUAAAGCGCGCGGAGGCGGUUUUUUAAGUCAGAGGUGAAAGCCCGGGGCUCAACCCCGGAAUAGCCUUUGAAACUGGAAAACUAGAAUCUUGGAGAGGUCAGUGGAAUUCCGAGUGUAGAGGUGAAAUUCGUAGAUAUUCGGAAGAACACCAGUGGCGAAGGCGACUGACUGGACAAGUAUUGACGCUGAGGUGCGAAAGCGUGGGGAGCAAACAGGAUUAGAAACCCGGGUAGUCC